CAGUAGCCGCGGGAAUACGUAGGGUGCGAGCGUUAAUCGGAAUUACUGGGCGUAAAGCGUGCGCAGGCGGUUAUAUAAGACAGAUGUGAAAUCCCCGGGCUCAACCUGGGACCUGCAUUUGUGACUGUAUAGCUAGAGUACGGUAGAGGGGGAUGGAAUUCCGCGUGUAGCAGUGAAAUGCGUAGAGAUGUGGAGGAAUACCGAUGGCGAAGGCAGCCCCCUGGGCCAAUACUGACGCUCAUGCACGAAAGCGUGGGGAGCAAACAGGAUUAGAUACCCGGGUAGUCCCUGUCUCUUAUAC
rnacentral:rRNA from 1 species